GACGAACGCUGGCGGCGUGCUUAACACAUGCAAGUCGAACGGAAAGGCCCUGCUUUUGUGGGUUGCUCGAGUGGCGAACGGGUGAGUAACACGUGAGUAACCUGCCCUUGACUUUGGGAUAACUUCAGGAAACUGGGGCUAAUACCGGAUAGGAGCUCCUGCUGCAUGGUGGUGGUUGGAAAGUUUCGGCGGUUGGGGCUGGACUCGCGGCUUAUCAGCUUGUUGGUGGGGUAGUGGCUUACCAAGGCUUUGACGGGUAGCCGGCCUGAGCGGGUGACCGGCCACAUUGGGACUGAGAGACGGCCCAGACGCCUACGGGAGGCAGAAGGGGGGAAUAUGGCACAAUGGGCGGAAGCCUGAUGCAGCAACGCCGCGUGCGGGAUGACGGCCUUCGGGUUGUAAACCGCUUUCGCCUGUGACGAAGCGUGAGUGACGGUAAUGGGUAAAGAAGCACCGGCUAACUACGUG
rnacentral:rRNA from 1 species